rnacentral:rRNA from 1 species
GACGAACGCUGGCGGCGUGCUUAACACAUGCAAGUCGAACGGAAAGGCCCUGCUUUUGUGGGGUGCUCGAGUGGCGAACGGGUGAGUAACACGUGAGUAACCUGCCCUUGACUUUGGGAUAACUUCAGGAAACUGGGGCUAAUACCGGAUAGGAGCUCCUGCUGCAUGGUGGGGGUUGGAAAGUUUCGGCGGUUGGGGAUGGACUCGCGGCUUAUCAGCUUGUUGGUGGGGUAGUGGCUUACCAAGGCUUUGACGGGUAGCCGGCCUGAGAGGGUGACCGGCCACAUUGGGACUGAGAUGCGGCCCAGACUCCUACGGGAGGCAGAAGUGGGGAAUAUUGCACAAUGGGCGGAAGCCUGAUGCAGCAACGCCACGUGCGGGAUGACGGCCUUCGGGUUGUAAACCGCUUUCGCCUGUGACGAAGCGUGAGUGACGGUAAUGGGUAAAGAAGCACCGGCUAACUACGUG